rnacentral:piRNA from 1 species
UNGAACUGGUGCCAACCAUGACCAUAAAAGC